rnacentral:lncRNA from 1 species
CUGAAUAGCACCUUGGCCGUGGCUCAAGUUGUCCAUUUCUGAAGUUAUAAUAUGCUGAUGGACUUAAUUCCUUGUCACGGAGAGUGGGGACACAAAACACUUUUACUUCCACAGCCUGGCCCUCCUGCCACCUGAACUUACCAGCAUGUCCACCUUCAGGUUUAUUCUUUUCUACAACUGCCUUGUAUGGCUGUUUCUCACCCAGAGACUAUGGUUAGGUGUCUCCUGGCUCCCUGGCUUGUUUUCAGAGCUCCAGAGCAGAACUCGCCCACUUGCUGGAGAUCAG